GACGAACGCUGGCGGCGUGCUUAACACAUGCAAGUCGAACGGGAAGGCCCUGCUUUUGUGCGGUGCUCGAGUGGCGAACGGGUGAGUAACACGUGAGUACCCUGCCCUUGACUUUGAGAUAGCUUCAUGAAACUGGGGCUAAUUCGGGCUAGGAGCUCCUGCUGCAUGGUGGGGGUUGGAUAGUUUCGGCGGUUGGGGAUGGACUCGCGUUAGAUUAGGUUGUUGGUGGGGUGGUGGCUUACCAAGGCGUUGACGGCUAGCGGGGCGGGGAGGGUGACCCAUCAGGCCUGAACUGAGGCACGGACUAGAACGGUACGCAGCAGAGGAGUAUAGUGUACAAUGGGCGGAAGCCUGGUGUGGCAACGCCGCGCGCGGUAUGACGGCCUGCGGGUUGUAUAGCGCUUCCGUCUGUGACGAGGCGUGAGUGACGGUAAUGGGUAAAGAAGCACCGGCUAAAUACGUG
rnacentral:rRNA from 1 species